rnacentral:rRNA from 1 species
UACGUAGGGCGCAAGCGUUGUCCGGAAUUAUUGGGCGUAAAGAGCUCGUAGGCGGCCUGUUACGUCUGCUGUGAAAUCCCGGGGCUUAACCCCGGGCGUGCAGUGGAUACGGGCAGGCUGGAGGCAGGCAGGGGAGAACGGAAUUCCCGGUGUAGCGGUGAAAUGCGCAGAUAUCAGGAGGAACACCGGCGGCGAAGGCGGGUCUCUGGGCCGUAACUGACGCUGAGGAGCGAAAGCGUGGGGAGCGAACAGG